UCAAAGUGUGGCUCUUGGACCACAGCAGCAGCAGCAUUACCUAGAAGCUUGUCAGAAAUGCAGAAUCCCAGGCUCUCGACCCACCCAGACCGACUGCAUCAAAGCCUGAACAUUAACAAGAUUCCCGGGAGACUCAUAUGCACAUUGCAGUUGGAGACGCAGUUGGAGAACUGAGCUGAAGCAGGGUUCCUCUGCCCUGCCGGCUGCUUGUUCUCUCCUUGUCCCUCCUCCCACAGCCUCCGGAAACCCCAUCUGGGGAGCUGUUCUGCAAAGCUGCACCUUAUCCACCUCCUGGAGCAAAACACGAGCUACCUGCCGGGGACUGUUCAGAGUGCUUCCUGCGAAGUCUCCCACUCAGAAGUCACAGCGAUCCUAGGAGGUAGAUCUAUUCCUGUGCCCGUUUUACAGACAAGGAAACUGAGGCAGAGUUUUGGUAACCGGACUUGCCUUUGGAACCCAGCCGCCAUGCUGUGAGGAAGCCCAGGAUAACCCACGUGGUGAGGCCAUGCAGACAGGUUGUGCAUGGGGUUCUAGCCAAGAGCCUGGCUGAGAUCUCAGCCAACAGUCAGCUGUGUGAGUGAAUGUGCCUUCGGAUGAUUCCAUUCCCUGGUUAUCAAGUCACCCCCAGCCUUUGUCUUCCCAGACAAGACCCUAGAAUGAGGCAGCAGAGAUAAGCUGUUCCCACCAUGCCCUGUUCAAAUUCCUGAC
rnacentral:lncRNA from 1 species